rnacentral:rRNA from 1 species
CACUAUAGCGAUGGAUUUAAGCGGCGCGAUCGCCUUGUGCCAAGCAGCCGCGGUAAUUCCAGCUCCAAUAGCGUAUACUAAAGUUGUUGCGGUUAAAAAGCUCGUAGUUGGAUCUUGGAAUGUGUUCAAGCGGGUCAGCUUCUGGCUGUGCGCUGCUUGACGUGUUCUUCUAUUUGGUUUUGGUGCGGUGCGCUUAACUGCGUGUCGCUCCCGGCCGAAACGUUUACCUUGAAAAAAUUAGAGUGUUCAAAGCAGACCUGUUUGAGUCUGAAUAUUCGUGCAUGGAAUAAUGAAAUAUGAAUUCGGUUCUAUUUUGUUGGUUUUCGGAACUCGAGUUAAUGAUCAAGAGGGACAGACGGGGGCAUUCGUACUCUGCCGUUAGAGGUGAAAUUCUUGGAUCGGCGGAAGACGCGCAACUGCGAAAGCAUUUGCCAAGAAUGUUUUCUUUAAUCAAGAACGAUAGUCGGAGGUUCGAAGACGAUCAGAUACCGUCCUAGUUUCGACUGUAAACUAUGCCAGCUAACGAUCAGACAGAGUUCUCUACGACUUGUCUGGCAGUUUCCGGGAAACCAAAGCGUUUGGGUUCCGGGGGAAGUAUGGUUGCAAAGCUGAAACUUAAAGGAAUUGACGGAAGGGCACCACCAGGAGUGGAGCCUGCGGCUUAAUUUGACUCAACACGGGGAAACUCACCCGGCCCGGACACAGUGAGGAUUGACAGAUUGAGAGUUCUUUCUUGAUUCUGUGGGUGGUGGUGCAUGGCCGUUCUUAGUUGGUGGAGCGAUUUGUCUGGUUAAUUCCGAUAACGAACGAGACUCUGGCAUGUUAAAUAGUCGCGGAAGUGCGUAUGCACUUGCCGAAUUGACUUCUUAGAGGGACUAGUGAUUUUAAUUCACACGAGAUUGAGCAAUAACAGGUCUG